AUGACUACUUUGUAAGGUAUUACAAUAGAGUUCCAAUCCUUUAACUUCAACAAGUUUGUUGACACUCCCAUCUCUAACUUUCCCACUAAUUAGUUGUCUCAUAAUUGUCAAACUUGAGAGCUUCAGACCAAACACGGUUACUGCCGAAGAUGUCAGCAUGUCACGGUAAAGAACAUGAACAUUUCUGAUGGACAACUGAAUGCUGUCAAGGAUCUUUGCAGUAAUGUAUGA
rnacentral:misc_RNA from 1 species